GGAAAAGAAACUAACAAGGAUUCCCCUCGUAAGUGCGAGUGAAGCGGGAAAAGCUCAAAUUUAAAAUCUGGUAGUCUUUGGCUGCCCGAGUUGUMAUCUAGAGAAGCMUUMUCCGCGCUGGACCGUGUACAAGUGUCCUGGAAUGGACUAUCAUAGAGGGUGAGAAUCCCGUCUUUGACACGGACUCCCAGGGCUUUGUGAUGUGCUCUCAAAGAGUCGAGUUGUUUGGGAAUGCAGCUCUAAAUGGGUGGUAAAUUCCAUCUAAAGCUAAAUAUUGGCGAGAGACCGAUAGCGAACAAGUACCGUGAGGGAAAGAUGAAAAGAACUUUGGAAAGAGAGUUAAACAGUACGUGAAAUUGCUGAAAGGGAAACGCUUGAAGUCAGUCGCGUUGGCUGGGGAUCAACCUUGCUUCUUGCUUGGCUUACUUCCCAGUUGACGGGUCAGCAUCAGUUUUGACCAGUGGAUAAAGGUUAAGGGAAUGUGGCACCUCCGGGUGUGUUAUAGCCCUUGGUCAUAUACAUUGGUUGGGACUGA
rnacentral:rRNA from 1 species